ACACCCCUGUAACCACUUUAAAAUUCCAACCAAUAAAAAAUAGCAGAAAUACUACUACCUAGAAAGAAGAGGGCCGAUAGGGACAAGGAAGGGAGACCAAAAAUAAUCUCGACUUUCUCUUCUUUGUUCUUCGCUUGGAACGAUCUCUUGAAUUCGUCGUCAACGAAAGGAUUCGGAAAUUUGGUUUUGACAUCACUGCACCGAUGAGAUUCAAGAAAGGGUGCAAGGUGGAGGUCUUGAGGAAGAGGCAGGUGCCCCCAGGCUCCUGGUGGUGUGCAGAGAUCAUCUCGGGGGAUGGUCAUAUGUACAGCGUGAAAUAUGAUCAUUUCUUGCCGGAUAUGGAUGGGGUUGUGGAAAGAGUACCAAGAAAGGCUAUCAGACCAUGCCCUCCUCCUGUCAAGUGUCCAAGGAGUUGGGUUCCUGGUGACAUUGUGGAGGUCUUUGAGAAUAACUCAUGGAAGCUUGGAGAAGUAUCAAGAAUUGUUGGUGGGAAUUGCUUUGUUGUCAGACUUCUUGGAUCCUCCAGGCAGUUUAGAGUCCAUAGAUCUGGCCUUAGGGUGCGACUGUCUUGGCAAAACAACAAAUGGGUUGUGAUCCAGAAGAAAUCUGAAAGCUGCAAUGAUGCACUUGUUAAAAGCCUGACAAAAACCAGAAGAUUCAGUCAAUUAACUCAGUCAUGCAUAGAGUUGGAAAAAUAUGGGGGGCAUGGUCAUGUUGGUGCUGAAAAUAAUAACAGAGCCAAGGAACCUACCUCAAGAUGCAUGAAGAAAAGACCACACUUCUGCUUAUCCCCUAUCGAGACAUGCACUGGAUCUAGAAGAAAGAUGAGAGCAGUUGAGAAAGGGGGAUGUUGCCAGCAAGUGACCACUGCACAUUCAUCCCAAUUACUGGAAAAGGUAGAGGCUGUGGCUUCACCACGUAAGUUGCUUGGUGAAAAAUACAUGCAUGCUUUCUUAAACCACAAAGUUUGUGAAAGGGGCAUGGGUAAUCAAAAACCUCAUGCUGGUGCUGGCUAUUGUUUUAUAGAAAGCAUAGAAUCUAAUGAUGCUGAGAGUGUUUCAUCUUCUGUUGGUAGUUGCAGUCCUAGCGACAGUCCAUAUAGGUCCAUCCUCUAUCCUAUAUACAGCCCAACCCAUGAUUUGGAUGGUAAUUGUAAUGAUGCCGAACAUCCUUGUGCAUCAGGAAGAGAGCUUAGUUUUUAUAUAAAAGAGGGACUUGAAGCAGAAAUUCAUUGCUUAGAGUUACAUGCCUAUCGUUCCACCUUGUUGGCAUUGUAUGCCGCCGGGCCCUUAAGUUGGGAUAAAGAAGUGUUGAUAACCAAUCUUCGUUUUAUGCUUCGAAUAUCAAAUGAUGAACAUCUAUCAGAGCUAAGGGCCAAAGUUGGAGGCUUGUAUAGCUUGCCACAGGGCCAAGAUGUUGGGAUUUGCCACAGGGCCAAGAUGACAAUAUAAGUCGGCAUAUGAUGAUUAGUUGGGCUGAAGUUGGAGGCUUGUAAAGCUUGCCACAGAUCCAGGAUGUUGGUGCUUAUGUCACAUAUUAUAAGAUGUCAUCAUUGCAGCAUUUCAUCUUAUUGACAAAUAAACUGUAGGUAGGUGGCAAGCCACCAGGGGACUACCCAAUACCAAGGUGCUAGAUGAGCGCUUAGGCAGGUGCAUCCAAUUAAGCUCAAUUUGUAGGCUGCCGUUUGACACCUCACCUGUAGAGGCACCCAUAGUGGUGCCAGAAGUCACUGCUGCAUGUGGCACCACAACAAGCUGCAGCCCUGUUGCAUGUGGCACCACAACCAACAUCACGUAGGCAGCACUACCGGCAUUUGUGUUGCAGGUGGCACCAUCACCAGCAUCAACCAUUGCUGCUGGUGGUACCACCACCACCAGCAGCCCCUGCAGCAGGCAGUACCACCACCAGCAGCAUCUCCUGCUUCAAGAGGCCUCAUUACUGGCAGCAACUGUUUCUGCAAGCUGCAUCCCUAUCAGCAGCAACCAAGAUUUUCUGUCUUAAUACCAAACCCCAUGCAGUGCCGGUAUGCUAUGGUACGCCUGGUACGAGGUGAUAUGCAUUGAUAUGGUGAAUCUUGGAAGCAACCCUAUUGCCAGUGGCAGCAUUGGUGCUAUUUGCACCAUUUCCAAAACAAAAAGGGCAAUCAAGGUGCGGAAGAAGAAAUGAAGGAGAUAGAAUCAAAGAAAAGAAAAAAGAAUGAAAAAAAUACUGGAGGUGAAGAUGUGGUGAGCUAGAGGAGCCUGGGCAUGCAUUUGAGGAGGAACACUAACUGAUGGAUAAGAGGGCAUUGGAGGGCGUCUCUGUACUUGAACUGAGGUAUGUUUUGAUGACAUCUAAGGGUGAGGAGGAUUGGAGACACCAUUAAUUUUCAUACUUCCAUCAAGAUUGGUGACAAAAGUAGAAAACUUGUUGACAGGCAACAGCUGUAUCGACAUGGUUCUGGAGUCUGCUAGGGUUUGGUUUGUGAAACUAGAGUUGUAACUGCCACCUUAUAAGGUUGUCUAGGUAAAUGACCAAUGUGCUCAUAACAUAGAUGUGGUAAGUGGGUUGAGUUCUUGUGGGGGUACACUUAUUCUCAAAUGUCGCCAAGUAUUAUGAAAAAACCUGUAGAUGCACUGAGCAUCGCAUAGACCAUACAUGUAUGGUUGGUGGGUUUUGGUGGUACCAGUUAUGACCAGUAACUACCCUUCGUGUGAAGAUUUUGGUGAGACCUAUUUUACUUUGACUACUGAUGAUACAACUGAAGAUUAUGUAGUUUCUGAGAAUUACUUAUUCA